rnacentral:rRNA from 1 species
GAUGAACGCUGGCGGCGUGCCUAAUACAUGCAAGUCGAGCGAACGGACGAGAAGCUUGCUUCUCUGAUGUUAGCGGCGGACGGGUGAGUAACACGUGGAUAACCUACCUAUAAGACUGGGAUAACUUCGGGAAACCGGAGCUAAUACCGGAUAAUAUUUUGAACCGCAUGGUUCAAAAGUGAAAGACGGUCUUGCUGUCACUUAUAGAUGGAUCCGCGCUGCAUUAGCUAGUUGGUAAGGUAACGGCUUACCAAGGCAACGAUGCAUAGCCGACCUGAGAGGGUGAUCGGCCACACUGGAACUGAGACACGGUCCAGACUCCUACGGGAGGCAGCAGUAGGGAAGCUGCCGCAAUGGGCGAAAGCCUGACGGAGCAACGCCGCGUGAGUGAUGAAGGUCUUCGGAUCGUAAAACUCUGUUAUUAGGGAAGAACAAAUGUGUAAGUAACUGUGCACAUCUUGACGGUACCUAAUCAGAAAGCCACGGCUAACUACGUG